AGAGUUUGAUCAUGGCUCAGAUUGAACGCUGGCGGCAGGCCUAACACAUGCAAGUCGAGCGGUAGCACAGAGAGCUUGCUCUCGGGUGACGAGCGGCGGACGGGUGAGUAAUGUCUGGGAAACUGCCUGAUGGAGGGGGAUAACUACUGGAAACGGUAGCUAAUACCGCAUAACGUCGCAAGACCAAAGUGGGGGACCUUCGGGCCUCAUGCCAUCAGAUGUGCCCAGAUGGGAUUAGCUAGUAGGUGGGGUAACGGCUCACCUAGGCGACGAUCCCUAGCUGGUCUGAGAGGAUGACCAGCCACACUGGAACUGAGACACGGUUCAGACUCCUACGGGAGGCAGCAGUGGGGAAUAUUGCACAAUGGGCGCAAGCCUGAUGCAGCCAUGCCGCGUGUGUGAAGAAGGCCUUCGGGUUGUAAAGCACUUUCAGCGGGGAGGAAGGCGUUAAGGUUAAUAACCUUGGCGAUUGACGUUACCCGCAGAAGAAGCACCGGCUAACUCCGUGCCAGCAGCCGCGGUAAUACGGAGGGUGCAAGCGUUAAUCGGAAUUACUGGGCGUAAAGCGCACGCAGGCGGUCUGUCAAGUCGGAUGUGAAAUCCCCGGGCUCAACCUGGGAACUGCAUUCGAAACUGGCAGGCUAGAGUCUUGUAGAGGGGGGUAGAAUUCCAGGUGUAGCGGUGAAAUGCGUAGAGAUCUGGAGGAAUACCGGUGGCGAAGGCGGCCCCCUGGACAAAGACUGACGCUCAGGUGCGAAAGCGUGGGGAGCAAACAGGAUUAGAUACCCUGGUAGUCCACGCCGUAAACGAUGUCGAUUUGGAGGUUGUGCCCUUGAGGCGUGGCUUCCGGAGCUAACGCGUUAAAUCGACCGCCUGGGGAGUACGGCCGCAAGGUUAAAACUCAAAUGAAUUGACGGGGGCCCGCACAAGCGGUGGAGCAUGUGGUUUAAUUCGAUGCAACGCGAAGAACCUUACCUGGUCUUGACAUCCACAGAACUUUCCAGAGAUGGAUUGGUGCCUUCGGGAACUGUGAGACAGGUGCUGCAUGGCUGUCGUCAGCUCGUGUUGUGAAAUGUUGGGUUAAGUCCCGCAACGAGCGCAACCCUUAUCCUUUGUUGCCAGCGGUUAGGCCGGGAACUCAAAGGAGACUGCCAGUGAUAAACUGGAGGAAGGUGGGGAUGACGUCAAGUCAUCAUGGCCCUUACGACCAGGGCUACACACGUGCUACAAUGGCAUAUACAAAGAGAAGCGACCUCGCGAGAGCAAGCGGACCUCAUAAAGUAUGUCGUAGUCCGGAUUGGAGUCUGCAACUCGACUCCAUGAAGUCGGAAUCGCUAGUAAUCGUAGAUCAGAAUGCUACGGUGAAUACGUUCCCGGGCCUUGUACACACCGCCCGUCACACCAUGGGAGUGGGUUGCAAAAGAAGUAGGUAGCUUAACCUUCGGGAGGGCGCUUACCACUUUGUGAUUCAUGACUGGGGUGAAGUCGUAACAAGGUAACCGUAGGGGAACCUGCGGUUGGAUCACCU
rnacentral:rRNA from 1 species